rnacentral:lncRNA from 1 species
GUCAAAAUUUAGUCAAAUCUUAAUAAAUUCUUGGUCAAAUCCUUGUCAAAUCCUCAUCAAUUCCUAAAUAAGCCCUAAUCAAAUCUUAGACAAAUCCUAGUCAAAUCCUAAACAAAUCCUAACCAAAUCCUAAUCAAAUCCUAAAUAAAUCCUAAAAAACUCUAAUCAAAUCCUAACCUAAAUCAAAUCAUAAUCCUAAUCAAACCUUAAAUCAAAUCCAAAAUCUUAAUCCUAAUCCUAAACCAAAUCCUAAUCAAUCUCAAGUUAUUUCUAUAGCACAUUUAAAUCUCAAUAACUAAUGAAUGAACUAUUGAUUUUAAUUCAAAAUUUGUACAAUUUAUAAUAAUCAAGUUGACAAAAAGUAUAAAUAUUUUGAAAAAGAUUGAAUUUACUAAAAAAAGAUCAAUUCUAAAAUCUGCUCAAGUAUCGGCCAUUCUCCUACUCAAAUUUGAAUGAUGAAAUUCCAGUAUCAAAAUCUCCCUUUCAAA